rnacentral:rRNA from 1 species
UACGAAGGGGGCUAGCGUUGUUCGGAAUUACUGGGCGUAAAGCGCGCGCAGGCGGUUCUCCAAGUCAGUGGUGAAAGCCCGGAGCUCAACUCCGGAACUGCCAUCGAAACUGUUGAACUUGAGGACGAGAGAGGUGAGUGGAAUUCCCAGUGUAGAGGUGAAAUUCGUAGAUAUUGGGAAGAACACCGGUGGCGAAGGCGGCUCACUGGCUCGUAUCUGACGCUCAGGCGCGAUAGCGUGGGGAUCAAACAGG